UAAUAGCGUAUAUUAAAGUUGUUGCAGUUAAAAAGCUCGUAGUCGGAUGUCGGGCUCGGGAGAUGUCGGCCUUGGUCUGGAUAGUUUUCUCCGGGCCUUUCUGCCUGGGGAACCCCUAUUCUACUUAACUGUAGGGUAGUGGGACGCAGGCCGUUUACUUUGAAAAAUUAGAGUGUUCAAAGCAGGCCUACGCUUGAAUACAUUAGCAUGGAAUAAUGGAAUAGGACUUUGGUCUUAUUUGUUGGUUUAUGGGACCGAAGUAAUGAUUAACAGGGACAGUUGGGGCCGUUUAUAUUUCGUUGUCAGAGGUGAAAUUCUUGGAUUUACGAAAGAUAAACUUCUGCGAAAGCAUUCGGCAAGGAUGUUUUCAUUGAUCAAGAACGAAAGUUAGGGGAUCGAAGAUGAUUAGAUACCG
rnacentral:rRNA from 1 species